UGGGGAAUUUUGGACAAUGGACGCAAGUCUGAUCCAGCCAUUCCGCGUGCAGGAUGAAGGCCCUCGGGUUGUAGACUGCUUUUGUACGGAACGAAAAGGUCUCUCUUAAUAUGGGGGGCUCAUGACGGUACCGUAAGAAUAAGCACCGGCUAACUACGUGCCAGCAGCCGCGGUAAU
rnacentral:rRNA from 1 species